rnacentral:rRNA from 1 species
UAGUCAUAUGCUUGUCUCAAAGAUUAAGCCAUGCAUGUCUAAGCAUAAGCCGAAUAUGGUUAAGCCGCGAAUGGCUCAUUACAACAGCCAUAGUUUAUUGGAUCUUAGAGUCCUACUUGGAUACCUGUGGUAAUUCUAGAGCUAAUACACGCAAUCAAGCCACAACCUUACGGGCGGGGCGCAUUUAUUAGGUCAAAACCAAUUGGCGAAAGCCAUUAUUGGUGAAUCUGAAUAACUACGCUGAUCGCAUGGUCUCGCACCGGCGACGUAUCCUUCAAGUGUCUGCCUUAUCAACUGUCGAUGGUAGUUUAUAUGACUACCAUGGUUGUAACGGGUAACGGAGAAUAAGGGUUCGACUCCGGAGAGGGAGCCUGAGAAACGGCUACCACAUCCAAGGAAGGCAGCAGGCGCGCAAAUUACCCACUCUCAGAACGAGGAGGUAGUGACGAAAAAUAACGAGACAGUUCUCUAUGAGGUCUGUCAUCGGAAUGGGUACGAUUUAAACCCUUUAACGAGGAUCUAUUGGAGGGCG